CUUACGGCCAGGGCUACACACGUGCUACAAUGGUCGGUACAAAGGGUUGCUACACAGCGAUGUGAUGCUAAUCUCAAAAAGCCGAUCGUAGUCCGGAUUGGAGUCUGCAACUCGACUCCAUGAAGUCGGAAUCGCUAGUAAUCGCGGAUCAGAAUGCCGCGGUGAAUACGUUCCCGGGCCUUGUACACACCGCCCGUCACACCAUGGGAGUUUGUUGCACCAGAAGUAGCUAGCCUAACUGCAAAGAGGGCGGUUACCACGGUGUGGCCGAUGACUGGGGUGAAGUCGUAACAAGGUAGCCGUAGGGGAACCUGCGGCUGGAUCACCUCCUUA
rnacentral:rRNA from 1 species